AUUGAACGCUAGCGGCAGGCUUAACACAUGCAAGUCGAGCGGAGUGAUGGUGCUUGCACUAUCACUUAGCGGCGGACGGGUGAGUAAUGCUUAGGAAUCUGCCAUUUAGUGGGGGACAACAUUCCGAAAGGAAUGCUAAUACCGCAUACGUCCUACGGGAGAAAGCAGGGGAUCUUCGGACCUUGCGCUAAAUGAUGAGCCUAAGUCGGAUUAGCUAGUUGGUGGGGUAAAGGCCUACCAAGGCGACGAUCUGUAGCGGGUCUGAGAGGAUGAUCCGCCACACUGGGACUGAGACACGGCCCAGACUCCUACGGGAGACAGCAGUGGGGAAUAUUGGACAAUGGGCGGAAGCCUGAUCCAGCCAUGCCGCGUGUGUGAAGAAGGCCUUUUGGUUGUAAAGCACUUUAAGCGAGGAGGAGGCUCUCCUAGUUAAUACCUAGGAAGAGUGGACGUUACUCGCAGAAUAAGCACCGGCUAACUCUGUGCCAGCCGCCGCGGUAAAAC
rnacentral:rRNA from 1 species